rnacentral:rRNA from 1 species
GACGAACGCUGGCGGCGCGCCUAACACAUGCAAGUCGAACGGAGCUGAGAGAAGCUUGCUUUUCUUAGCUUAGUGGCGAACGGGUGAGUAACGCGUGAGUAACCUGCCCUGGAGUGGGGGACAACAGUUGGAAACGACUGCUAAUACCGCAUAAGCCCACGAUCCGGCAUCGGAUUGAGGGAAAAGGAUUUAUUCGCUUCAGGAUGGACUCGCGUCCAAUUAGCUAGUUGGUGAGGUAACGGCCCACCAAGGCGACGAUUGGUAGCCGGACUGAGAGGUUGAACGGCCACAUUGGGACUGAGACACGGCCCAGACUCCUACGGGAGGGAGCAGUGGGGGAUAUUGCACAAUGGGGGAAACCCUGAUGCAGCGACGCCGCGUGGAGGAAGAAGGUGUUCGGAUUGUAAACUCCUGUCGUUAGGGACGAUAAUGACGGUACCUAACAAGAAAGCACCGGCUAACUACGUG